rnacentral:rRNA from 1 species
UGGGGAAUAUUGGACAAUGGGCGAAAGCCUGAUCCAGCCAUGCCGCGUGUGUGAAGAAGGUCUUCGGCUUGUAAAGCACUUUAAGUUGGGAGGAAGGGCAUUAACCUAAUACGUUAGUGUUUUGACGUUACCGACAGAAUAAGCACCGGCUAACUCUGUGCCAGCAGCCGCGGUAAUACAGAGGGUGCAAGCGUUAAUCGGAAUUACUGGGCGUAAAGCGCGCGUAGGUGGUUUGUUAAGUUGGAUGUGAAAGCCCCGGGCUCAACCUGGGAACUGCAUCCAAAACUGGCAAGCUAGAGUACGGUAGAGGGUGGUGGAAUUUCCUGUGUAGCGGUGAAAUGCGUAGAUAUAGGAAGGAACACCAGUGGCGAAGGCGACCACCUGGACUGAUACUGACACUGAGGUGCGAAAGCGUGGGGAGCAAACA